GCCAGUGUGAUGUAGUGGUUUGAGUGUUGGACUACAACUCUGGAGACCAUGGUUCAAUUCCCAGCUCAGCCA